rnacentral:rRNA from 1 species
UACGGGGGGGCAAGCGUUGUUCGGAAUUACUGGGCGUAAAGGCUCGUAGGCGGCCAACUAAGUCAUACGUGAAAUCCCUCGGCUUAACCGGGAACUGCGUCUGAUACUGGAUGGCUUGAGUUCGGGAGAGGGAUGCGGAAUUCCAGGUGUAGCGGUGAAAUGCGUAGAUAUCUGGAGGAACACCGGUGGCGAAGGCGGCAUCCUGGACCGAGUACUGACGCUGAGGAGCGAAAGCCAGGGGAGCAACGGG